rfam:Microbispora sp. ATCC PTA-5024 genomic scaffold scaffold00003, whole genome shotgun sequence.
CGACCGGUACGCCGGUCGGCCCGACCCCGGUACCUGACACGGCCGGGGCGG